rnacentral:rRNA from 1 species
AUAAUGGGUCAGCGACUUAUAUUCUGUAGCAAGGUUAACCGAAUAGGGGAGCCGAAGGGAAACCGAGUCUUAACUGGGCGUUAAGUUGCAGGGUAUAGACCCGAAACCCGGUGAUCUAGCCAUGGGCAGGUUGAAGGUUGGGUAACACUAACUGGAGGACCGAACCGACUAAUGUUGAAAAAUUAGCGGAUGACUUGUGGCUGGGGGUGAAAGGCCAAUCAAACCGGGAGAUAGCUGGUUCUCCCCGAAAGCUAUUUAGGUAGCGCCUCGUGAAUUCAUCUCCGGGGGUAGAGCACUGUUUCGGCAAGGGGGUCAUCCCGACUUACCAACCCGAUGCAAACUGCGAAUACCGGAGAAUGUUAUCACGGGAGACACACGGCGGGUGCUAACGUCCGUCGUGAAGAGGGAAACAACCCAGACCGCCAGCUAAGGUCCCAAAGUCAUGGUUAAGUGGGAAACGAUGUGGGAAGGCCCAGACAGCCAGGAUGUUGGCUUAGAAGCAGCCAUCAUUUAAAGAAAGCGUAAUAGCUCACUGGUCGAGUCGGCCUGCGCGGAAGAUGUAACGGGGCUAAACCAUGCACCGAAGCUGCGGCAGCGACACUAUGUGUUGUUGGGUAGGGGAGCGUUCUGUAAGCCUGCGAAGGUGUGCUGUGAGGCAUGCUGGAGGUAUCAGAAGUGCGAAUGCUGACAUAAGUAACGAUAAAGCGGGUGAAAAGCCCGCUCGCCGGAAGACCAAGGGUUCCUGUCCAACGUUAAUCGGGGCAGGGUGAGUCGACCCCUAAGGCGAGGCCGAAAGGCGUAGUCGAUGGGAAACAGGUUAAUAUUCCUGUACUUGGUGUUACUGCGAAGGGGGGACGGAGAAGGCUAUGUUGGCCGGGCGACGGUUGUCCCGGUUUAAGCGUGUAGGCUGGUUUUCCAGGCAAAUCCGGAAAACCAAGGCUGAGGCGUGAUGACGAGGCACUACGGUGCUGAAGCGACAAAUGCCCUGCUUCCAGGAAAAGCCUCUAAGCAUCAGGUAACAUCAAAUCGUACCCCAAACCGACACAGGUGGUCAGGUAGAGAAUACCAAGGCGCUUGAGAGAACUCGGGUGAAGGAACUAGGCAAAAUGGUGCCGUAACUUCGGGAGAAGGCACGCUGAUAUGUAGGUGAAGCGACUUGCUCGUGGAGCUGAAAUCAGUCGAAGAUACCAGCUGGCUGCAACUGUUUAUUAAAAACACAGCACUGUGCAAACACGAAAGUGGACGUAUACGGUGUGACGCCUGCCCGGUGCCGGAAGGUUAAUUGAUGGGGUUAGCGGUAACGCGAAGCUCUUGAUCGAAGCCCCGGUAAACGGCGGCCGUAACUAUAACGGUCCUAAGGUAGCGAAAUUCCUUGUCGGGUAAGUUCCGACCUGCACGAAUGGCGUAAUGAUGGCCAGGCUGUCUCCACCCGAGACUCAGUGAAAUUGAACUCGCUGUGAAGAUGCAGUGUACCCGCGGCAAGACGGAAAGACCCCGUGAACCUUUACUAUAGCUUGACACUGAACAUUGAGCCUUGAUGUGUAGGAUAGGUGGGAGGCUUUGAAGUGUGGACGCCAGUCUGCAUGGAGCCGACCUUGAAAUACCACCCUUUAAUGUUUGAUGUUCUAACGUUGGCCCGUAAUCCGGGUUGCGGACAGUGUCUGGUGGGUAGUUUGACUGGGGCGGUCUCCUCCUAAAGAGUAACGGAGGAGCACGAAGGUUGGCUAAUCCUGGUCGGACAUCAGGAGGUUAGUGCAAUGGCAUAAGCCAGCUUGACUGCGAGCGUGACGGCGCGAGCAGGUGCGAAAGCAGGUCAUAGUGAUCCGGUGGUUCUGAAUGGAAGGGCCAUCGCUCAACGGAUAAAAGGUACUCCGGGGAUAACAGGCUGAUACCGCCCAAGAGUUCAUAUCGACGGCGGUGUUUGGCACCUCGAUGUCGGCUCAUCACAUCCUGGGGCUGAAGUAGGUCCCAAGGGUAUGGCUGUUCGCCAUUUAAAGUGGUACGCGAGCUGGGUUUAGAACGUCGUGAGACAGUUCGGUCCCUAUCUGCCGUGGGCGCUGGAGAACUGAGGGGGGCUGCUCCUAGUACGAGAGGACCGGAGUGGACGCAUCACUGGUGUUCGGGUUGUCAUGCCAAUGGCACUGCCCGGUAGCUAAAUGCGGAAGAGAUAAGUGCUGAAAGCAUCUAAGCACGAAACUUGCCCCGAGAUGAGUUCUCCCUGAGACUUAGAGUCUCCUGAAGGAACGUUGAAGACGACGACGUUGAUAGGCCGGGUGUGUAAGCGCAGCGAUGCGUUGAGCUAACCGGUACUAAUGAACCGUGAGGCUUAACCUU